CCCUUAGAUGUUCUGGGCCGCACGCGCGCUACACUGACGAAUGCAACGAGCUUAUAACCUUGGCCGAAAGGUCUGGGUAAUCUCCAAAUUUCGUCGUGAUGGGGAUAGAUUAUUGCAAUUAAUAAUCUUCAACGAGGAAUGCCUAGUAAGCGCAAGUCAUCAGCUUGCGUUGAUUACGUCCCUGCCCUUUGUACACACCGCCCGUCGCUCCUACCGAUUGAAUGGUCCGGUGAAGCGUUCGGACCGUGGCCUUUGGACGGUUCGCCGUCUGUUGGCUGCGGGAAGUUCGUUAAACCUUAUCAUUUAGAGGAAGGAGAAGUCGUAACA
rnacentral:rRNA from 1 species